rnacentral:rRNA from 1 species
AGAGUUCGAUCAUGGCUCAGAUUGAACGCUGGCGGUAGGCUUAACACAUGCAAGUCGUGCGAGAAAGUAUCUUCGGAUAUGAGUAGAGCGGCGGACGGGUGAGUAACGCGUAGGAAUCUACCUAGUAGAAGGGGAUAGCCCGGGGAAACUCGGAUUAAUACCGUAUACCUCCUUCGGGAGAAAGAAGGCCUCUCUUUGAAGCUUUCGCUACUAGAUGAGCCUGCGUAAGAUUAGCUUGUUGGUGAGGUAAAGGCUCACCAAGGCGACGAUCUUUAGCGGGUCUGAGAGGACGAUCCGCCACAUUGGGACUGAGACACGGCCCAGACUCCUACGGGAGGCAGCAGUGGGGAAUAUUGGACAAUGGGCGCAAGCCUGAUCCAGCCAUACCGCGUGUGUGAAGAAGGCCCUAGGGUUGUAAAGCACUUUAAGUUGGGAAGAAAAGUUAUUGGUUAAUACCCAAUGACCGUGACAUUACCAUCAGAAUAAGGACCGGCUAAUUCCGUGCCAGCCGCCGCGGUAAUAC